AGAGUUUGAUCCUGGCUCAGGAUAAACGCUGGCGGCGUGCUUAACACAUGCAAGUCGAACGAAGUUUUUCUUUCGGGAGGAACUUAGUGGCGGACGGGUGAGUAACGCGUGGGUAACCUGCCCUGUACAGGGGGACAACAGCUGGAAACGGCUGCUAAUACCGCAUAAGCCCUUAGCACUGCAUGGUGCAUAGGGAAAAGGAGUAAUCCGGUACAGGAUGGACCCGCGUCUGAUUAGCCAGUUGGCAGGGUAACGGCCUACCAAAGCGACGAUCAGUAGCCGAUCUGAGAGGAUGUACGGCCACAUUGGGACUGAGACACGGCCCAGACUCCUACGGGAGGCAGCAGUGGGGAAUAUUGCACAAUGGAGGAAACUCUGAUGCAGCGACGCCGCGUGAGUGAAGAAGUAUUUCGGUAUGUAAAGCUCUAUCAGCAGGGAAGAAAAUGACGGUACCUGACUAAGAAGCACCGGCUAAAUACGUGCCAGCAGCCGCGGUAAUACGUAUGGUGCAAGCGUUAUCCGGAUUUACUGGGUGUAAAGGGAGCGUAGGUGGCAAGGCAAGCCAGAAGUGAAAACCCGGGGCUCAACCGCGGGAUUGCUUUUGGAACUGUCAUGCUAGAGUGCAGGAGGGGUGAGCGGAAUUCCUAGUGUAGCGGUGAAAUGCGUAGAUAUUAGGAGGAACACCGGAGGCGAAGGCGGCUCACUGGACUGUAACUGACACUGAGGCUCGAAAGCGUGGGGAGCAAACAGGAUUAGAUACCCUGGUAGUCCGCGCGGUAAGCGAUGGAUGCCCGCUGUUGGGCCAACUGGUUCAGCGGCCAAGCGAAAGCAUUAAGCAUCCCACCUGGGGAGUACGCCGGCAACGGUGAAACUCAAAGGAAUUGACGGGGGCCCGCACAAGCGGAGGAACAUGUGGUUUAAUUCGAUGAUACGCGAGGAACCUUACCCGGGCUUGAAUUGCAGUGGAAGGAUUUGGAGACAAUGACGCCCUUCGGGGCCUCUGUGAAGGUGCUGCAUGGUUGUCGUCAGCUCGUGCCGUGAGGUGUCGGCUUAAGUGCCAUAACGAGCGCAACCCCUCUCCAUAGUUGCCAUCAGGUUAAGCUGGGCACUCUGUGGACACUGCCACCGUAAGGUGUGAGGAAGGUGGGGAUGACGUCAAAUCAGCACGGCCCUUACGUCCGGGGCUACACACGUGUUACAAUGGCAGGUACAGAGAGCCGGUCGUAUGCAAAUACGAUCCAAUCCUUAAAGCCUGUCUCAGUUCGGACUGGGGUCUGCAACCCGACCCCACGAAGCUGGAUUCGCUAGUAAUCGCGCAUCAGCCAUGGCGCGGUGAAUACGUUCCCGGGCCUUGCACACACCGCCCGUCAAGCCAUGAAAGCCGGGGGCGCCUGAAGUCCGUGACCGCAAGGAUCGGCCUAGGGCGAAACUGGUAAUUGGGGCUAAGUCGUAACAAGGUAGCCGUAC
rnacentral:rRNA from 1 species